CGAGCCGGCCGGGCGGUCGCGUUGGGCACUCUUCGGAGGGCCCGCCGAGGAACGUCCGGGCUCCACAGGGCAGGGUGGUAGGUAACGCCUACCUGGGGUGACCCACGGGACAGUGCCACAGAAAACAGACCGCCGGGACCGCGCGAGCGGGACCCGGUAAGGGUGAAACGGUGGUGUAAGAGACCACCAGCGCCCAGGGUGACCUGGGCGGCUCGGUAAACCCCACCCGGAGCAAGGUCAAGAAGGGGCCGUCCUCGGACGACCCCGCGUGAACGCCUGAGGGCUGCCCGCCCGAGUUCACGGGUAGACCGCUUGAGGGUGAUGGCGACAUCACCCCUAGAUGGAUGACCGCCACCCGGAGCGCCCCACGGCGCCCCGGGCACAGAACCCGGCGUACAGGCCGCCUCGUCCG
rnacentral:RNase_P_RNA from 2 species